AUUUAUAGUUUUCAAUUUGUCAUCCAUUCGUAUGAAAUAACUUUAAAAUAACUUAUUUAACAUUCUAUAUAUAUACCUUUUUAUUACUUAUUAAAAUAUAAAUGUUUCGUAUUUUGUUUUAGCCAUAAGAUAAUAAAGAUCGGAUUGUCCAUCAGCAUUCCUGAAAGUUCCCAAAUGACGAGCCAUGGGGUAAUAUAUCUUGUAUCAUAUAAACAAUUCAAUUUUCUUUUAUUAAUUAAUUUUAAAAAUAUUGUAGUUUGAUAACGAUGUAUCUUAAUAAUGAAUGAUUAAAGUUGGCAGAGGGCAUUGCAGUGAUGGUGGUUCUAUUCGUCAAUGGGGAACCAGGUCCUGGGAUCCAUUUGACAAGAAUGAUCCGUUUAUUUCCAAACUUUGAAGUAAAUGAAACGAUUAAGUUUACUUUGACUAAAAAAACGUAAAGUUUCAUCUAAAUUUAUUUUUAAUUUUAUUAUUAUGAUUAUAUGUAAAGUUGCAUCCAAAAUAUUCAAGUUCUGAAAUAUAUUUUUGUAUUAACAAUUAUAAUUUAAGGAAACAAUAUAAAAGCUAAACUUACUCAGGUUGAACACAUUUCAAUUUAUAGCUAUAAUGAAAUUGACACGAGGUAUAAUUUUGAUGAUAAUUAUUUAGGGCAGGAGGAGGAAAUUGAGGUAGUCAAUAGGUGUCCAUGUGUUUAAAAAACCAAAACGAAAUUGUAAAAAAUGUAAUACAGUGGAACUUGACAAGUUGAACACCUUUAUAAACCGAAAUAAAUGUACUUCCAUUGAAAAAAACAUUGAUUACUCGAAAAGCUAUAGAUAACUUGAACAUUUUGUGUUCCGAAUAUAGACGAAUAAUUUGUGUAAUCAUUUGUCCAUUCGGCUUGUGCCUCCCAUGAUUUCAUCUAAUCUUUUUAGUUCUACAAUUUUAAAAUAAUAAUAAUAACAACACAAAGUGUAAUUAUGUGUUCAUAUGUACUAUAUAUUAAUUUAAAACUAAUACAAACAUACAAUUUAAAAACUUAAAUUCAAAGUCAAAUUUUUCUCGGAAACUUUAAAAAGUCGAAAAAAAUUGCAUUUUGUUUGAAUUUUGACUUAUCUAGAUUUCACUGUAACUACAAUUAAAUACGGUUUUAAAAUAAUUAUUCUUGUAUGCCUGAGCUAGAGAAUAAAUUAUAGUCAUUUAUACUAUUGUGACAUCUAAUUGUGUCUUUCCGCAUUUUAGUUAAAACUUUAAUUUCUAAAUUGUGACUAAAUAACUUUAAUAUUUUCAUAGUUGAAAUUACUUAAAAUUAAGGAUUAAGUAUUAGCAAAUUCUUAGUUGAUUUGCAUGUCAUAUACUUGACUCACUGGUGGCAUUUUUUCCAAAGAAAUAAAUCACAAACUAAAACUCACUAAAUUACCAUGAAAUUUGCAAAGUACCAAAUGGAUGCAUUUUACAAUUUUGAAUUACCUUAAUUUAGCAAUAGUGUAGCUUAAUCAUAAUAUUGUAUUUAACUUGUAAAAUAACUACUAGGGGACAGUUAUACAGUAUGUCUGUAUUUUUUAGAAAUAACACAUGUUUCCUGGGAACACCUAAAACAUAAAGACAAUCAACAGGAUGUACAUAGCAGCAACACAAAAGGGAUAAUCAAAAUUGAAACAUUACAAUUAUUUAUGAGGCCACUUGAAACAAGUAGUUUUUAGAACACUCCACUAUGGUGGUUGCAGUGUUUGGUUUCACAACAACCAACAAAACUCAUCUACAAGUCACUCUGUUCUCUGUAAUUAUUAAUUAUUUGAACAUUUAAUUUUUGUGUGAAAAGAAACUAACAUACACUUGAUAUUACAGUUGAGUCUUUUAGACAUUCAUAAGAAGAAGUACUUGUCCAUAAUUUGAUGGCACGCAACAAAAUACUAGCUGUCAUUGGAAGAUUCUAAGUUAAUAAAAAAAAUUGAAACCGCCUGAUUAAAAGUAGGUACCGUUAUUUAUCAAUAUCUAUAAUUAUUCCUAUAUGGUAAUAAUUAUAUUUUAUUUAGAUCUAACUGUUCAAAUGGUCCUGUUACAAUGAGUAAAUAGCAUUCUGAUUGUACUGGGGAAAUUAAAAAUAUUGCAAUAGUUACAAUAAUAAUUGUCUAGGAUUGAUGAAGCGAUUAGUUAAACGUAAUAACAGGUAUGUACUGGCACAAUUUUUUAAUUUCAAUUUGAAUUUAUAAUUGUGUAUGUUGAUCAAAUGUCACUAUUGUUUAUGAAACAGUGCAACAUUUUUAAUUAUACAAUUUUCAAUCAUAUUCAAUAAGUUUUGUGAAUUGAAAAAAGAACCUAAUAAGGUAUUUAAAAUGAAUGAACCAAAAAUUACCAUUAAAAUAAUUUAUACAAUUAUUUAAUUAAUCAAUUUAACACAAACUCUUUUGUAUAUUAAUAAUUUGUAGAAAAAUUGAAUAGUUUAAUGAACAAUAGCUUAGAAAAUAUACCAUAAAAAUGUUUAAAUUUAUUAAAUAACUUUUACUGAUAAUAAUAAUAUGUAUAUAAAUAUAGNCACGGACAACCUUCGGUGUGGUGUUAGCUCGCCGAUAAACUGAUUAGGUUCCAGAGUAAUACCCCGGUUUGUAGCCGCGCCUGCUUGCGAGGCUGUUCGACCUAGAGCUUUGCUCGAGUCAGCAUGACUCAUAACCACAUAGUCACUUCAGUGACAGCUACCACGAAACCAUUCCGCAUCGGUCGAAAUCAAUAGUUUAAUGAACAAUAGCUUAGAAAAUAUACCAUAAAAAUGUUUUGGUGUAAAUUUUGGUGUAAUUAUUUUGAUUGCAACAUCCUUAAUAUAAGUUAUUUUAUAUUUUAUACAUACUGAAAGCACUAGAUACAACUAAAUUGUUGUUAGUCAACUAAUGAAAUCUACCAUAGUUGAUUAUGAUUAUAUGAUAAUAAUUUUUUAUCUGUUGCAAUUUCAUGAAUAUUUAGUUUAAUUUAUAAUGUGAUUUAGCAAAUUUGCAAAUAAGAUUUAUUGCCAUUAAGCAAACUAACCAUUAUGCAAUUUCUGUUUACAAAAUGUCACCAAGUGAAAAAAAUCAGAUUUAUAAAAUAUAUAUGUUUAAAUGCCUUAUUUUAUUCUUAUAUAUGUAAAAAUAAUGUUUCUAAGUGAUAUCAUAAAUAGUUUAUGUACCACAUAACAUUUUUGGCAAAAUUGAAUAAAAUGUAAUCUUAAUUUGAAAGUGAAAAAAAAAUUAAUUUUAAAUUAUUGAGACAAUUUUUAUAUUUGAGGUUUUUUUAUUAUCUACCUGUGUUAUAUUGAAUUAUGAUUGAGUUUAUCAAAUUUUUUCAGGAUAAGGCAGUCACAUUUUAUGUCCAAGCAUAUCAUUUAGCAACAAAUGGAAAUUGAACUGUCAUGUUUAUGGAUUAGUUUGCUAUCAGUUCUAUCAAAACUCAACCUAGUUUACAUUAAAAGUAAAUAUUUUAUUAUAUUUGUAUAUGCAAGCCUGAAUAUUAAAAUAGCCUAUGUAAUAAAAUAAAAUAAAAAAAUCAAUCGGUUAGAUAAAUACUUGAUAAAAUAUGAAAAUAUACAAAUUAAAUAAAUGAAUAAAAAAAUAUAUAUGGCCCAUAACAUUAAGAUCUGUCACCUAAAAUCACUUUUGUUCUGUUCAAUAAUUUUAAGUUCUUUUCUUGUGAUAAUUAUUGGAGCCUUGUGUUAUGUUUCCUUUAUUGUAUUUUUUAUAUUCUUUUUGAAACUGAAAAUAGAAAUAUAAUUUAAAGUUACAAUUUUAAAGAUAUAUUAUGAAACAAUAUUUUGAUGUGAAUAAUAAUAACACUAAUACUAAUAAUUUUAAAAAGUUUUUAAUAUUAAUACUCAUUAUUUAUAUAAAAAUCAUCAGUAUGAGUAUUUUUUAAAACAUACCUUGCUAAUAAAUAAUUAAGAAAAGCAUACAUUAAUUUAAUUUUAGAAAUAUGCUUUUUGUAUGUAUUUUUAGUGUUUCUAAUAGUUUUCUUUUAAUGUAUAAUGUAUUACAAUUAAAUGGCAUAUGUAUUAUGAGGUUAAGGAAAUUAGCUUAAACAAAUAUUGAAUUUAUAGACAGUUGAAUCCGAUUUUUAUUUGGUGAUUAUCUCAACCUUCAACCACACACCUUGUGUUAGUCUGUUGCUAUUUAGGAGGUGCGGAGGUUCAAGAGUUUCCGGAGCUGCGAGCUUGAGUCGUUCUAAGGACUACCAGCACUGCAGGACUCUGAGAACAUGGAGCCUCGCGUACCAAUGGGUUAGGGCCAAGCGCCACCCGUCCUCGCUGUUGGUAUGGCCGCAGUCUGCUUCACUGCUUUCCGUUUUUGGUCACGGACAACCUUCGGUGUGGUGUUAGCCCGCUGAUAAACUGAUUAGGUUCUAGAGUAAUACCCCGGUUUGUAGCCGCGCCUGCUUGCGAGGCCGUUCGACCUAGAGCUUUGCUCGAGUCAGCAUGACUCAUAACCACAUAGUCACUUCAGUGACAGCUACCACGAAACCAUUCCGCAUCGGUCGAAAUCCGGCCGAGACCGGAAACCGGCCGCUGUGACGGGCCACCACCCCAAGGUCCUCGAGGGCUCCCGCCUCCCAUGGUACCAGCCUUAACAUCGCUGUUGGGGUGCUCGACCUGGAGCAUCGUCAGGUUUUAGCCUUCUGCUGCGGUCUCCCCGGAUUGGGGAGGCAUACCCGAGCUCUGGGUAGGCUCUUACACGGAGCGCUCACUCCUGUUUUUGCCCAUUAGUCACCUUCUAUGCUUAUAUACCUACCUCAUAGGCUUACUGUUGCCACCAUUCUGCUCCCCGGGCAACAGGGAGUUGAAUUUACAGACAGUAGGUUUUAAAAUUAUGUUCUGCAUCAAUAUUUUGUAAGGUAUAAUAAACAAUAAAAAUUCUCAAAUCAGUCAUUUCAUCCCAUUUUAAAAUCUUUUUAGUCUGUUUUACAAGGCUAAAUGGCUACCUGGACCAUGAUUUGAAAUAGAAUUGGUUUCCUACUUGUGUUUCCGAAUAGUUUUUUACGAUGUAUUUCUUAUAUUAGUUUUAUAUUCAAAUUUUUCAGUUAUGUUAUUCUAUUACCUGGUUUUAGUUUUUUAAAAUCGAAACCUCUGUAUAAACAUUAUUUUAUAAUAAAUUUGCUUUAUUUUUGUUAUUUUUCUGUAUAUCUUUAUUUCUCUAUAUUCCAUAUAUUAUAUCAGUGUAUUAUAAAUUAUUUUUAUUUUAAUUAAAUUUUUUUUUUUUACUUUUUUAAUUAUUUGAUAUUGAUUUGUACAUAAUAAAGUACUAUUGGUUUCGUGUUGUAAUAUUAUGUUUAAUUUUUACAGAUAAAAACUAAAAAUUCAGAACAAAUCCUACAAGCUGCUGCAGACCAUAAGAAAAUAAAAAUUGUACCUAAGAUAUUUGAGUGUGAUAAAAAUCAUUAAUAAUCAAAUUAUAGGCAAGUUAAAAUGUCAACUGUUGAAAUUAAUGGAACAUUUUAAUUUAGAAUUUUUGAUACAAUACUUUAAUUUUACAAAGUAAUAAAAUAUAAUUUAAAGCAUAUUUUUCUUUUAAAAAGUAAAUAACCCAAAUAUCAAAAUCAUAGUAUCAUAUUGUGAUUGUUAAUAAACAAUAAAAUUUCAUAUUUAACGACUAGGACUAUGCAGUGAAAAGAAGAACCUUAAAAAUGCACAAAACAUACACAAAAAAAUGUAAUAAAUUAUACAUUUAAAAUCUCAAAUAUGCAAUAUAAAAUGUACUAUACUGGUUUGAUGUCUCCAUUCUGAUUUUAGGCCUCUAGGGUAUUUGAUUUGUAUAAUGUUUCAGAAUUUAUUUUUUAGUAUAGUGAAGUAAUAUAUCUAGUAUUUGUUAUUAUGUGAAACAAAUGUUAAAAUAUUUCAAAAUUGUUAUAAAAAAACUACUAGGAAAAUAAUAUCUACCUUAUAUUGUAUAUAAAUAAAAAUAAAAUAUUUCACUUAAUUAAAUAUUUUUUAUCAUAUUUAAAGAGAAUAUGUAAGAGUGUGUUGAAAUACUGUCUCUGAAACUAUCUUGCUGGAACUUCAUAUCUGUGUGCAGUAUGUGCUUGCAGUUCUGCGAUUAAAAAAAUAACAUAUUCUUAAAUUUCUUCAGGGAUGAAAUUUAAAAUUAUAUUAAUUAUCUAGGAGUUCAAUUAAAUAAUUUUGUUUUGUUUAUUUGGCC